rnacentral:rRNA from 1 species
GGAAUAUUGGGCAAUGGGCGAAAGCCUGACCCAGCGACGCCGCGUGAGGAAUGAAGGUCUUCGGAUUGUAAACCUCUUUCAGUAGGGAAGAAGCGAAAGUGACGGUACCUAAAGAAGAAGCACCGGCUAACUAUGUGCCAGCAGCCGCGGUAAUACAUAGGGUGCAAGCGUUGUCCGGAAUUAUUGGGCGUAAAGAGCUCGUAGGUCGUUUGUCGCGUCGAUUGUGAAAAUCUGAGGCUCAACCUCAGACCUGCAGUCGAUACGGGCAAACUAGAGUGUGGUAGGGGAGACUGGAAUUCCUGGUGUAGCGGUGGAAUGCGCAGAUAUCAGGAGGAACACCAAUGGCGAAGGCAGGUCUCUGGGCCAUAACUGACACUGAGGAGCGAAAGUGCGGGGAGCGAACAGGAUUAGAUACCCUGGUAGUCCGCACCGUAAACGGUGGGCACUAGUUGUGGGAACCUUCCACGGUUUCCGCGACGCAGCAAACGCAUUAAGUGCCCCGCCUGGGGAGUACGAUCGCAAGAUUAAAACUCAAAGGAAUUGACGG